rnacentral:rRNA from 1 species
CGGACGGGUGAGUAACGCGUGGGUAACCUGCCUUGUACAGGGGGAUAACAGUCAGAAAUGACUGCUAAUACCGCAUAAGCGCACAGGACCGCAUGGUCCAGUGUGAAAAACUCCGGUGGUAUAAGAUGGACCCGCGUUGGAUUAGCUGGUUGGUGGGGUAACGGCCUACCAAGGCGACGAUCCAUAGCCGGCCUGAGAGGGUGAACGGCCACAUUGGGACUGAGACACGGCCCAG